GAAACGUCAACAUACGGGAAUUUCCCCCCAUGGACCUGCAUUAUUGGGCUCUGAAGACAUUUCAUAUUGACCACAACACCUCGGUAGGCUUGUGCCUGACCCUGAAGUGAAUGACCAUGGCCUCUGGCUGCAACGAAGGCAGCAACUGGUAUUGAUUGCCGAAAUCUUUGGCCACAUGCUGGACUUCAUCAAAAUUGAGAUGCCCAUCAAGGGAGAGCGUUAGUAGUGAAGAGGGGAUAUUCGAAAAGCAAAGGCUCAGUUUAGCAGCUAUACAGCUCAGUAAUAAGAGCAAGAAGCUUCUUAUUACAAGAAAGUUCUUUGGCUGGGGGGAACUUGCUGCCGGCUUUCUCAUUUUUCUCAUUGGACGAGUCAGAAGCAGUGGAAGAUGGAAGACUUUUACUUCCAUAUAUAUUGUUUGUCGUGAGAAAGAACAAAGGAGAGGUUCAGCAGAACCAAGGCAGGAAAGAAUGGUCGAAGGCUGGAAUUUAAAGGGAGGAGAUUUGGUGGCAGAGUCAACCUAUCAACAUUGGCAAGAAUACGUAUGAAGACUGCCGACUUGAGUGGGAGAGUCUUAGGAGCUUGCUUUUAGCUCUUCUUUUUUGGGGGCGUUCAUUUAUGAGAGAAGCCAUCACAAAUAAGCCAAGUUGAGGAGGAAAAAGUCGCAAGAAAGGAAGAUCUUACAAAUCUUUUCCCUUUCUCAAACAGUUGUGACCCCAUCAUCACCUUUUGCAUCAAAGGGGUUUUAUCUCCUAUAGUUUCUUGUUAAUCAUGUUAAGGAUACAUUUGCCAUUUAUAGCAAAAAAUAAGCUUGGGAUGGAAUUAGCAUUCCUCUGUUCCAGCUGACAGAUCUGAUGACAGAGACUGCCGGGGCCUUCCAUGAUUCUUUUUGCAAGCUUGUGGGAUGACCACUGUGGGAGGUCCAUGGGUCCGACCGGCACGUGAAUUUUCUAAUGGCUGUGGGCUUUGUGGGGUGAAGGGAUAUGAUUGGUUGUGCCUGGGACCUGAAUGGGGCCCAAUGCUAUGGUCUGGAAAAAGAAGGAGAAGAGAGUGAAACGGCUUGUAAGUACAGUUCCCUAUUUUCCCUAUGCCCUUCCUCUUUGCCUUUUAGAAGGCUCACUUCACAAAUGUCUGAAGUUAUGAAUGAUUCUCUUGUUACAUGUCUAAAUGCACCUGACCUCUUCUUUUUGUUUGGUAAAA